AUUGAACGCUGGCGGCAGGCCUAACACAUGCGAGUCGAGCGGAUGAAGGGAGCUUGCUCCUGGAUUCAGCGGCGGACGGGUGAGUAAUGCCUAGGAAUCUGCCUGGUAGUGGGGGAUAACGUCCGGAAACGGGCGCUAAUACCGCAUACGUCCUGAGGGAGAAAGUGGGGGAUCUUCGGACCUCACGCUAUCAGAUGAGCCUAGGUCGGAUUAGCUAGUUGGUGGGGUAAAGGCCUACCAAGGCGACGAUCCGUAACUGGUCUGAGAGGAUGAUCAGUCGCACUGGAACUGAGACACGGUCCAGACUCCUACGGGAGGCAGCAGUGGGGAAUAUUGGACAAUGGGCGAAAGCCUGAUCCAGCCAUGCCGCGUGUGUGAAGAAGGUCUUCGGAUUGUAAAGCACUUUAAGUUGGGAGGAAGGGCAGUAAGUCAAUACCUUGCUGUUUUGACGUUACCAACAGAAUAAGCACCGGCUAACUUCGUG
rnacentral:rRNA from 1 species